rnacentral:snRNA from 1 species
GGCAAUUACCAGUUCUUUCCG